UAUCACUUGAAUCAUUCUCCUGACUCUGAAAACAGCCUCUGGAAUUGAAAGUUCCUGUGCACUCACUCCCCCUGAGCAUACGGAUUCUCUGGACAUGGCCAAUGACAGAGGGCACUAAAGUAAUAACCACUGUCUUCAGUAUUGCUUCGUACGGAGUCUGGUGAUUCCCUGUAAUCCAUUCUCUGAGAUCCUCAGGAUUCUGACUUUGAAGAAGACUACUUGCCUUGGGAUCACUGGGUGUAAAUUUCUACUAUGAAUCUGGAGCAGACAUAUGGCACUAGCUAUGCAGGUAAGCGCUUUAAUUAGUCUUCUCUUAGUAGAACUGAGGAAAUAAUUUUUCACUGAGAUGGACAAGC
rnacentral:lncRNA from 1 species